rnacentral:rRNA from 1 species
GACGAACGCUGGCGGCGUGCUUAACACAUGCAAGUCGAGCGGUAAGGCCCUUUCGGGGGUACACGAGCGGCGAACGGGUGAGUAACACGUGGGUGACCUGCCCUCAGCUCUGGGAUAAGCCUGGGAAACCGGGUCUAAUACCGGAUAUGACUCCAUGACGCAUGUUGUGGGGUGGAAAGCCUUGUGCGGCUGAGGAUGGGCCCGCGGCCUAUCAGCUUGUUGGUGGGGUGAUGGCCUACCAAGGCGACGACGGGUAGCCGGCCUGAGAGGGCGACCGGCCGACACUGGGACUGAGACACGGCCCACGACUCCUACGGGAGGGCAGCAGUGGGGAAGUCUUGCGCAAUGGGCGAAAGACCUGACGCAGCGACGCCGCCGUGAGGGA